UUACGACCAUAUCACGUUGAAACAUCGGUUCUCGAGAGACGAUCACCGAAGUUAAGCAACGUCGAGCCUGGUCAGUACCUAGAUGGGUGACCGCUUGGGAAUACCA